GCUGGGCUUGGUGGCGCACACCUGUAAUCCCAAUGACUUGGGAGGCUGAGGCAGGGGGAUUGCAAGUUUGAGGCCAGCCUCAGCAAUUUAGCAAGGCCCUGAGCAACUUAACAAGACCCUAUCUCAA
rnacentral:sRNA from 1 species